CUUGGGAGAAUUCGUGGUGGCUUCCAUUCAAAAGGAUAUGUGAAAAUGGUUAUUAACUUCUUGUAAUCACAGAAAGAGAAUAGACUAUGGGAAUUGAGAAGCCGCCAUAUUGUUCAUGCGUAAGAUGUCUUCAGUGAUGUGUGUGUCAUUGUAACUUGGUGCAGGCUACUCUCCCAUGGAAACAAUUCAACCACAGUUGUCUGAAAAAUGUCAAGCAAGGAAUGAAAAAAGCUAGUAAGAGUCAACUGACCAUUUUUCAGGGGAGAAGGCUGGACAGCUUCAGAAGACGUACACUGAUUAGGUUAGCUGAUUACUUGUACAUGUACUGUAGUUUCUGCAUUCUACCCUUUAAGACCGAGUGGGGAAC